GCGGGGCUUAAGUGCUGCACUUGAUGAGUUGCACUUGUUGACAGAGACAGCUGAGCGCACAGACAGGAAAACAAGCAGACUACAUUUUGUACAAGAAGUACAGAGAAGCUCUCAGAGACAACAUGGUCUGACUGAUCAUCAACGCCUGCAGGUUUGCGGUGAGGAAGAUCCGAGCUGCGGUCAGAGGAGAGACGCAGUCGGGGAAACCCAGCAUCACAGAAUGUAGGCCGACCCCAGCAUACCGUGAGGUCAGGCUGAGCUCUGAGGAGCCAGCGUUGAUUACCAAACCUCCUCAGACGGGCAAUGUUGUUCGGAGGGAAGAGUGCGGAUCCUGAAAGUAAAUUGAGAGCUGGAGGGCAGAGAGGAGGCUCUCAGGAAAUAUACUGAAAACACACACACACUAACACACACACUCACACAGUAUCAUUAGUUUAACAUCAGACAUUUGACCCCGCCCCCCUCGGCCUUCAGCUCUCACGUUCACGUCAGGCUCGUCCUCACUGUUUCAGAGCAGAGAAUGGUGUGAUCAGCAGAGAGGAUGAAGGCCUGAUCACCAAGUCCUCCUCAGAGGAACCGAUCAGUCCGGAUCAAUAUGAAGACUCUGCUGAUGAAGCUGCACUCGUUCAUACGUUCAUACGAUCAUGUGUUCGUUAACUGUCUCUUUGAAACAUGUCAGUAAAGAAGAUUUCUAAUCUGAG